CUACGGGACGCACCAGUGGGGAAUAUUGCACAAUGGGCGCAAGCCUGAUGCAGCCAUGCCGCGUGUAUGAAGAAGGCCUUCGGGUUGUAAAGUACUUUCAGCGGGGAGGAAGGGAGUAAAGUUAAUACCUUUGCUCAUUGACGUUACCCGCAGAAGAAGCACCGGCUAAUCCGUGCCAGCAGCCGCGGUAAUACGGAGGGUGCAAGCGUUAAUCGGAAUUACUGGGCGUAAAGCGCACGCAGGCGGUUUGUUAAGUCAGAUGUGAAAUCCCCGGGCUCAACCUGGGAACUGCAUCUGAUACUGGCAAGCUUGAGUCUCGUAGAGGGGGGUAGAAUUCCAGGUGUAGCGGUGAAAUGCGUAGAGAUCUGGAGGAAUACCGGUGGCGAAGGCGGCCCCCUGGACGAAGACUGACGCUCAGGUGCGAAAGCGUGGGGAGCAAACAGGAUUAGAUACCCUUGUAGUC
rnacentral:rRNA from 1 species